rnacentral:rRNA from 1 species
AAAUUGAAGAGUUUGAUCAUGGCUCAGAUUGAACGCUGGCGGCAGGCCUAACACAUGCAAGUCGAACGGUAACAGGAAGAAGCUUGCUUCUUUGCUGACGAGUGGCGGACGGGUGAGUAAUGUCUGGGAAACUGCCUGAUGGAGGGGGAUAACUACUGGAAACGGUAGCUAAUACCGCAUAACGUCGCAAGACCAAAGAGGGGGACCUUCGGGCCUCUUGCCAUCGGAUGUGCCCAGAUGGGAUUAGCUAGUAGGUGGGGUAACGGCUCACCUAGGCGACGAUCCCUAGCUGGUCUGAGAGGAUGACCAGCCACACUGGAACUGAGACACGGUCCAGACUCCUACGGGAGGCAGCAGUGGGGAAUAUUGCACAAUGGGCGCAAGCCUGAUGCAGCCAUGCCGCGUGUAUGAAGAAGGCCUUCGGGUUGUAAAGUACUUUCAGCGGGGAGGAAGGGAGUAAAGUUAAUACCUUUACUCAUUGACGUUACCCGCAG